rnacentral:rRNA from 1 species
AUUGAACGCUGGCGGCAGGCCUAACACAUGCAAGUCGAGCGGUAGAGAGGUGCUUGCACCUCUUGAGAGCGGCGGACGGGUGAGUAAUGCCUAGGAAUCUGCCUGGUAGUGGGGGAUAACGUCCGGAAACGGACGCUAAUACCGCAUACGUUCUACGGGAGAAAGCAGGGGACCUUCGGGCCUUUCGCUAUCAGAUGAGCCUAGGUCGGAUUAGCUAGUUGGUGAGGUAAUGGCUCACCAAGGCGACGAUCCGUAACGGGUCUGAGAGGAUGAUCAGUCACACUGGAACUGAGACACGGUCCAGACUCCUACGGGAGGCAGCUGUGGGGAAUAUUGGACAAUGGGCGAAAGCCUGAUCCAGCCAUGCCGCGUGUGUGAAGAAGGUCUUCGGAUUGUAAAGCACUUUAAGUUGGGAGGAAGGGUUGUAGAUUAAUACUCUGCAAUUUUGACGUUACCGACAGAAUAAGCACCGGCUAACUCUGUGCCAGCAGCCGCCGUAAGAC